rnacentral:rRNA from 1 species
GACGUAGGGCGCGAGCGUUGUCCGGAUUUAUUGGGCGUAAAGAGCUCGUAGGCGGCUUGUCGCGUCGUCCGUGAAAACCUGCAGCUCAACUGCAGGCUUGCGGUCGAUACGGGCAGGCUAGAGUUCGGUAGGGGAGACUGGAAUUCCCGGUGUAGAGGUGAAAUUCGUAGAUAUCGGGAGGAACACCGGUGGCGAAGGCGGCGACCUGGGUCGACACUGACGCUGAGGCGCGAAAGCGUGGGGAGCAAACAGG